CAGUCGCCGCGGUAAUACGUAGGGGGCGAGCGUUGUCCGGAAUCAUUGGGCGUAAAGAGCGUGUAGGCGGCCCGGUAAGUCUGCUGUGAAAACCCGGGGCUCAACCCCGGGCGUGCAGUGGAAACUGCCGGGCUAGAGGGCGGCAGAGGCGAGUGGAAUUCCCGGUGUAGCGGUGAAAUGCGCAGAUAUCGGGAGGAACACCAGUAGCGAAGGCGGCUCGCUGGGCCGUUCCUGACGCUGAGACGCGAAAGCUAGGGGAGCGAACAGGAUUAGAUACCCCAGUAGUCCCUGUCUCUUAUAC
rnacentral:rRNA from 1 species